GUUGGCCUAGUGGUUAGAGCAUCCGCCUCCAGUGCGAGAUGUCGCGGGUUUGAAACCCGGCUUAGUCA